rnacentral:rRNA from 1 species
AGUGAACGCUGGCGGUAGGCCUAACACAUGCAAGUCGAACGGCAGCACAGUAAGAGCUUGCUCUUACGGGUGGCGAGUGGCGGACGGGUGAGGAAUACAUCGGAAUCUACUUUUUCGUGGGGGAUAACGUAGGGAAACUUACGCUAAUACCGCAUACGACCUACGGGUGAAAGCAGGGGAUCUUCGGACCUUGCGCGAUUGAAUGAGCCGAUGUCGGAUUAGCUAGUUGGCGGGGUAAAGGCCCACCAAUGCGACGAUCCGUAGCUGGUCUGAGAGGAUGAUCAGCCACACUGGAACUGAGACACGGUCCAGACUCCUACGGGAGGCAGCAGUGGGGAAUAUUGGACAAUGGGCGCAAGCCUGAUCCAGCCAUACAGCGUGGGUGAAGAAGGCCUUCGGGUUGUAAAGCCCUUUUGUUGGGAAAGAAAAGCAGCAGGUUAAUACCCCGCUGUUCUGACGGUACCCAAAGAAUAAGCACCGGCUAACUUCGU